rnacentral:lncRNA from 1 species
CGGCAGACAUAUACACAUCAGAGGCAGUCUGCAGAUGGGUGAGGCGCGGCCCCUGGCCUUGCUGGGCUGGAAGGAUGCUCUGGGAGGUCUGGUGUACAUGCGUUUUGACUAGGCAGGACUUGCACCCCACCUUCCAGACAGACAGUGCUUCCUCGCCCAGAACUUCACUCUCUCACCAGACGUUUCCUGCAAGAUUUCCAGAUGCCAAGCACUGGGCGAGACACAGAAAGCAGCUUCAGAAUCAUCAUGAAGGUGUGAGAACCAGUACUUCUCCACCUCCCUGUGGGUGAUGGCAGUUCUAAGGCAAAAUGGUGAUGUCAAGAUUUCAAGACUUACUUCGCUUCAUGGUGAAAUACUGGCCUUGACACUGUUAUUAGAGUUUAAAAUCUUCAGAAUUCAUAAAAUUUUAAAAAUUAGUGAAACAAUACGUGCAGUACUUUUCAAAAGCAUGCAUUUAUAAGCCUCUUUCAAAACAUUAAGGAAUUGUGUAAAUUAUUCAAGAAUAAACAUUAAUAUAUAGAGCUAUUAUAGACUAGA